rnacentral:miRNA from 1 species
CAACCACCUCCCACAAUUUCAG